rnacentral:rRNA from 1 species
GACGAACGCUGGCGGCGUGCUUAACACAUGCAAGUCGAACGGAAAGGCCCUGCUUUUGUGGGGUGCUCGAGUGGCGAACGGGUGAGUAACACGUGAGUAACCUGCCCUUGACUUUGGGAUAACUUCAGGAAACUGGGGCUAAUACCGGAUAGGAGCUCCUGCUGCAUGGUGGGGGUUGGAAAGUUUCGGCGGUUGGGGAUGGACUCGCGGCUUAUCAGCUUGUUGGUGGGGUAGUGGCUUACCAAGGCUUUGACGGGUAGCCGGCCUGAGAGGGUGACCGGCCACAUUGGGACUGAGAUACGGCCCAGACUCCUACGGGAGGCAGCAGUGGGGAAUAUUGCACAAUGGGCGGAAGCCUGAUGCAGCAACGCCGCGUGCGGGAUGACGGCCUUCGGGUUGUAAACCGCUUUCGCCUGUGACGAAGCGUGAGUGACGGUAAUGGGUAAAGAAGCACCGGCUAACUACGUGCCAGCAGCCGCGGUGAUACGUAGGGUGCGAGCGUUGUCCGGAUUUAUUGGGCGUAAAGGGCUCGUAGGUGGUUGAUCGCGUCGGAAGUGUAAUCUUGGGGCUUAACCCUGAGCGUGCUUUCGAUACGGGUUGACUUGAGGAAGGUAGGGGAGAAUGGAAUUCCUGGUGGAGCGGUGGAAUGCGCAGAUAUCAGGAGGAACACCAGUGGCGAAGGCGGUUCUCUGGGCCUUUCCUGACGCUGAGGAGCGAAAGCGUGGGGAGCGAACAGGCUUAGAUACCCUGGUAGUCCACGCUGUAAACGGUGGGUACUAGGUGUGGGGUCCAUUCCACGGGUUCCGUGCCGUAGCUAACGCUUUAAGUACCCCGCCUGGGGAGUACGGCCGCAAGGCUAAAACUCAAAGGAAUUGACGGGGCCCCGCACAAGCGGCGGAGCAUGCUGAUUAAUUCGAUGCAACGCGUAGAACCUUACCUGGGUUUGACAUGGAUCGGGAGUGCUCAGAGAUGGGUGUGCCUCUUUUGGGGUCGGUUCACAGGUGGUGCAUGGCUGUCGUCAGCUCGUGUCGUGAGAUGUUGGGUUAAGUCCCGCAACGAGCGCAACCCUUGUUCACUGUUGCCAGCACGUUAUGGUGGGGACUCAGUGGAGACCGCCGGGGCCAACUCGGAGGAAGGUGGGGAUGACGUCAAGUCAUCAUGCCCCUUAUGUCCAGGGCUUCACGCAUGCUACAAUGGCUGGUACAGAGAGUGGCGAGCCUGUGAGGGUGAGCGAAUCUCGGAAAGCCGGUCUCAGUUCGGAUUGGGGUCUGCAACUCGACCUCAUGAAGUCGGAGUCGCUAGUAAUCGCAGAUCAGCAACGCUGCGGUGAAUACGUUCCCGGG